UUCACUUGGGCAGACAGGCGAGUGUACAACACAAUAUGCUGGCUUUAGCUUUGGGCAUAAGGUAAGUACAUCCAAUAUAACUGGGACUUCACUCUGGGCAUACAGGCGAGUGUACAACACAAUAUGCUGGCUUUAGCUUUGGGCAUAAGGUAAGUACAUCAAAGGUAACUGGGACUUCACUUGGGCAGACAGGCGAGUGUACAACACAAUAUGCUGGCUUUAGCUUUGGGCAUAAGGUAAGUACAUCCAAUAUAACUGGGACUUUACUCUGGGCAGACAGGUGGGUGUACAACACAAUAUGCUGACUUUAGCUUUGGGCAUACGCUUACGGUGAAUAUACAGGGAAACAGGAAGUGAUGUAACUCACAGACCUUCGAGGGAAUAGACGUCAGACGUUCCUUUUCUGAGGCUUCUACCAACUGCUGAUAGAGAGGCGGAUCGAAAACUGUUGCGUUGGGCCGAACACGGCCUCCGCUGGCGUCACACACAGGUAAGUUGUCUCACCCGGGGUGUACUACACUGGAUGGGUCGAACGCUUCCCUCUUCUUUCUACCAACCGACAAGUCAAGAGAUCUAGACAGGGGCGAACCUUUGAAGAACUCCACAGCAGGUAAUAAUACACGCACAGCUGAUUUCCUCCUACAGCAGCCAACUCCUCACCAUUAAUACUUCCCAAUAGAUCCACACUGUUCUUACUUGAAAUUGUUUCCCACCACCGUCACGUGGGGAAGAAGGGUCAGGAUGUCAUCGACGGCAUAUAGUUGGAGAUGUUUUCUUCGCCCGCCUCGGUAUUCACUUCCUUCACAGGAUUUCGUCGGGCCUGAAAGGUGGUUGUUGACGACACAACACAGCACAACACUGCAAUUUUCAAGUGUAUACACUCACAGCAAAGGACAAAGACUCACCCACUGCACUCCACACACUCUGGUGAAUUUAGGGUCAACACCCCGUCUGACCAAAGACUCUUCCUGGGAGUCGUGAAGACACUGAUGCCACGAAUAUUCAGAUUUAAACGUUGCCGCCACAACAGCCCAACAUCCUCUCUCACUCACUGGUCCCGGCUCACCCACAAUCCUCCUCCACGGUGGGGCCGCUCACAUACUAUGCCACAAACUCACAAAACGCUCACAGAUGGUUCACUCUAGAUGAUUAUACUGCUGUACGAUGGUUUAGGGUACUCACACCGUUACUACACGAGGUCUCUUUUCCCUCUUCUUUCCAGCUCCUGGAUACUUCUCCUGCUGCCACGUGCCCUGUCGAAAAGGCCUCCUUCGGCGAUACUUCCGGUGAGUCUUCCUGUUUUCAACCACUCAGAAUUUGUUACACAUGUCCAUGGAGCAUUUCACAGUUAAGUAGACAUUCCAAUAUACUCAGCCCGGUGUCUGUUUCUGCCAAACCCUUGUCUCCGUCUUUGCCCAGCCAACAAUAUCCUCUGCCUUCUUUCCUCUGUACUCGCCCAAACGCUCCAACUCUCUCGCCGUAUCGGCUGAAAUAAAACAAAGAACUUU
ensembl:lncRNA